AUGCAGUUAUCAAACAAGUACAACGAAUGGGAUCUCUGGAGAAGUAAGAAGAAUCUUCAAGUUGUUCGAGCCGGAAGCUAAACGAGGUGGACGAGUUGAGGAGGACGAUCUCGGAACGGGGAGGAGUGGGAGUGGCGAUCUUGAGGUCGGGGUGAUCCUUCCUCGAGUAUUCAGCUCGUCGAACGAGGGCGUCAACGAUUUUGAGGUCGGGGCGAUCUUUCCUCCGGGGUUCAGCUCGUCGAACGAGGGCGUCAACAAUCUUUUCUUCGCUUGUAGUCGUACUGUCGUUCUAUUAGAGCCCCUCUUCCGUCCCAUCAACGUUUCUUUACGUUCUUUAUUUAUAGCCGCUUGUUUAGGGCGUACCACGAGGGUAAUCCGGCCAAUUCCCUCUGUUUAAUGUGAUGAUCUGUCCUUUCUCUAGAACAUUCAUUUUCAACAGAUUGGGCUUUGUUUGUAACGGGCUUUGACUUAUAAAUCGAAAUCGGGCUGUUAACUCCUUUUGGGCCAGAAUUGAGACUUGUCCAAUUCUUCCCUCAACAAUUGUAAAUGUUUU
rnacentral:sRNA from 1 species